UACGAGAGGCCCAAACGUUAUUCGGAAUUACUGGGCGUAAAGCGCACGUAGGCGGCUUUGCAAGUUAGAGGUGAAAGCCCGGGGGCUCAACUCCGGAAUUGCCUUUAAAACUGCAUCGCUAGAAUUGUGGAGAGGUAAGUGGAAUUCCGAGUGUAGAGGUGAAAUUCGUAGAUAUUCGGAAGAACACCAGUGGCGAAGGCGACUUACUGGACACAUAUUGACGCUGAGGUGCGAAAGCGUGGGGGAGCAAACAGG
rnacentral:rRNA from 1 species